CGGGCCGCACAAGCGGUGGAGCAUGUGGUUUAAUUCGACGCAACGCGAAGAACCUUACCAGGGCUUGACAUCCCCUGACCGCGUAUGAAAGUACCGUUUUCACCCUCGGGUGACAGGGGAGACAGGUGGUGCAUGGUUGUCGUCAGCUCGUGUCGUGAGAUGUUGGGUUAAGUCCCGCAACGAGCGCAACCCCUACGUUUAGUUGCUAACAGGUGAAGCUGAGCACUCUAGACGAACUGCCGUUGACAAAACGGAGGAAGGUGGGAUGACGUCAAAUCAUCAUGCCCCUUAUGUUCUGGGCUACACACGUGCUACAAUGGCCGGUACAGACGGAGGCGAAGCCGCGAGGCGGAGCAAAUCCGAAAAAGCCGGUCUCAGUUCGGAUUGCAGGCUGCAAUUCGCCUGCAUGAAGUCGGAAUCGCUAGUAAUCGCAGGUCAGCAUACUGCGGUGAAUACGUUCCCGGGCCUU
rnacentral:rRNA from 1 species